AACAACGCCGCCACAUCUUGUAGGAAGAGCACUCGCGGCUACCAUCCGCUGCGACGACGAGCGCAGCUCCGGUUUUCACGGUGUAUCCUGUUUGUUCGUGAUUGCGAGUAAUUAAGGAAGAACUGCAGGAAGAGAUCGGAGACACUUAAUGUACAAGAUGCAAGGUAACGUAAUGAAAUUAUGUAUGUGCAUGUGCACGAGGUAUUCAAUAAAUUUUACAUAAUGUUUAUUAUUUAUAGUGUACUCAGAAAUGUCGGGCCUCAACCAGUGGGCCUUCUUCUUUUGACAUAUUUGAUCAAUGAACAUCACAAUGUUAAUUUUCCCCUAGUCCGUAUAGUUAUCUUCUCUUCUCUAUUAAGAGUGACGCGCAAUCUGCUCGCAAGCCGCUGCGACGAGAUAAGCGUUACAAUUGCGUCUCUACCUGCGUUGUACGAAAUAUUCCGGUUUACGUUCACUGUGCCGAAUACAGGCCACAAAACCGCCGAUCAGAUUCGGGGAUACGAUGGACCAAGUAGGUUGCCGCGAGCGGUUUAAUGCAGUUAAUUACGUAAACUGGUCCGCGUAAUUUAAACAUCGUAACGAGCGGAUUGCGCCUCGCAAAAAAUAGAUAUGUCCAGCUUCGCGACUCUUGGUUCUCAUCCACGAUUCAACAUGCCAGCAUAUUCGUACAACAAAACAUCGAAUAACAACUGCAUAUAAAAACAAAACGAAAGGAAGAGGUCUAUCUUCAGCCGCAACUCGUCGUAGGUUUUGAAUUUUCCGAUCGGCGCGCGUAUAUCCGACAACCAAUUAUAUAUCCGACAAGUAUAUGUUAAAACACACAACGUAUUAGUAAACGUCACUUCUUUCUUUACGUGUUACGUAAGUCAUCGCCAAAUUUACACGGUCGUUUUCUCGCAGUCGGAAAACGCUUUUCGUUUUAUGUUGUCCAUCUCGGGCCGACAUUCGAGGAGUUCCCAAAAGCGAUGGGGUUUUCAAGUGGGUGAUGAAGGGAAAGGAGAUGGGGGGAAAGGAACGGGAGAGCGUAUGGGUUUUGACUUUCCUUUUCUCUUUUUUUACUCGUAUUACAGCAAUCAACCAUUCUCACUGUACACGCCUCUCUUCCUCUCUGCUCGAUUCUUCGUCCGUCUGUGGACAAUGAAGAAUUAAGAUACGCACGCGUCGCAUCGAGAAACGAAACUCCAUGAUCGGACGAGGAACAGAUUCCAAGACGCUUGAUUUCAUGCGUUCGAUUUCGUGCGACGAGUUUAGCUCGUCCGCGUCGUUUCGAUCGCUGACGCGACAAAUUGAAAAUUCUCCGCUGGCCAGACGCCAAAAAUUCAAAAUUAUUAAACUGCAGUAGAUACGUCAUUUCGUCUGUUUCAUCCUCUGAUCGUACUUUAUUGUGAGAUUCGAACAAUCGACACAAUCUUGGCUUCAAGUUAGUAAUAAGUAUCAUGUUAAACAAAUAUUUCACAGAAAAAACGAAAGAGUGAUAAUAUUACCUGGAUACUCUAUCGACUCGGAAUUUGAAUAUGCAGCUGUCUGCAAUAAAACAUAGUUUCUGCAAUAUUCAUAUAUCCACUUAAAAGAUAUAUAUCUUUCAGCGUUCGAUCUGUUCUACGAAAAUGAAGAACACGUUUCGCACCACGCAAGUCUUCAUUACACAAAAUGACAAAUGUGUCUUUAGUUUCAAAUGUAAAACCUAAUUCGCUAAAAUAUGUCGAUUGCUCCAAUGUAUAACGUUCAGCAUACAUUAAAUUGAUCGUAGGAAUUUGCGAUUCCAGAAUAAACUUUAUCAUUUACGUGUUUGUAGAUUAUUUUCUUUUAGAAUCACACGUAUUUGAACACGAAGUGAGCACAAGUCGAAUCUCAACGUCUGGCCGGCGGGUGCUCGCUAAUAAAUGGCGCGGGGGCGGCAGUGGCGCGAGGAUACAUUCAAGUUCUCAUUAUAUAGGAAUCGAGGGGGAUUCAAUGUUCAAAAAACUUGGUAAAAAUAUCAGUGUGACCUCGCGCCGCACGGCACGCCCGGCCGCAUCUGGCCCACCUUAAUUAAUUCUCUGAAACCUUCGAAAACACCUCGUCCAGCCUAGCGCUAUACGAAAUGAUCGUUACGAUACGAUAAUAUAUAUAAUAUAUAUAUAAUAUAUAUAUUAUAUUCUACAUUACAUUUUUUUACUAUGUUCGAAAAAUAAUAUUACAAUAUAUAGUGUGUGUUGUUAUGUGUAUUAUCAUUUUUGUUUCUCUUCUUAUUCCUCCUCUCCUCCACGAUAGUUCGCCUCAUUCUCGCUUAUCGCUUUUUUUUCCUUAUUAUACGCGCGGUAAUAUCUAAAAUUUACAAUUAGUUAUACAUGGCGGUCGACGCUGCUGACAGGAGACCGGCGAUGUAAGACGGUGCGUGUUUCAAUCAGCGUUGUUGAAUUCGUUAUCAAAAAUUAUGUAUUGUAGUGAGUAGAAAUUACUCCGGCUUGACGUAUAUAUAUAAAAUUGUCAUGUUAAUAAUAAAUAAUCAAACUGGUAGAGAAAGACGGUUGCAUCUUCAAAGAAACGUUUUGUCGUCCGCGCUUCAGUUCUACCAUCAACAAACGAUUAUAAUUGAAGGUAUCAUUUCAAAAACGAUAACUCCAACUUCCAAAGUGAGACGCUUCAAUUCCUUCGAUCUAGACUCGCAAAGUCUUGAACGUCAAAAAGCGGAAGAAAGUGUCGAGAGUGAAGUUGCCUGAAGUGCUUAUUAAACAGGCUUACCUAAAUAGGCAUAAUUAAUCCUUGGAAACUCUGUUCUCUCAGAUUUCCCUGCUUCCCCAAUCUUCAAUCGCAACAGGAAAGACCAGCUCUCAUCGCGCCAUUAAAAUGAUGCCUUCAAUUUUCAACUCGUCUCAAUCUCUAAUCGACUACUCAUCGCAAGCACUCUUUUAAAAUCGCAAAGGUCACGAAUUACUUUGAAGAGCAACCUCCCGCUUGUCAUCUACCACGGAAUGCCCUAUAAGAGAUUUGUUCUCAGCGUUGUACGCAUCGGGUGUCGCUCUCAGCAGCGCGCGCAGUUAUACUACCAAAUCCUUUUGGUGUGUAAAUGUGUGGAUGUAAAACCGCUAGGCGCUUUUCUUUUUUCUCUCUCUCUUUCUCUCUCUCUCUUUCUUUCUCUCUCUUUCUCUCUCUCUCUUUCUCUCGCUCUUUCUCGCUUUCUCGUUUUUUAAAUUUGAAUAACAACCAUUUUUUAAAUUUGUUUUACUAAAUAUAUCACAAACUGCCGGCGGCUAGUGCGGCUCUCGGAUUUUCGCUAAACGCAACGAUCGUAAUUUGCCGAUUUAGUUCUUUUUAAGCGAUGCUCACGCACCCCGGUGCCGACAACCGGAAUCGUAGUGUUUAGCGAUCAACGCGAGAGUUACCACCGAAAAAAUAUAACGUUAAGGGAUUACAUGUUAAUAGUUACAUCACACACUGUCGGAAGACGCAGCGAUCCGAAGGAUCGUCGGGACACUACCCUUGCGUCUACGUAUCCAGAAAAUCCUUCGUCCUCGUCCCCAACGUACAGUUAGUUUAAGUGUCGAACUAGUAAUUUUCCGUAUAUUAUGCUGCCACAGAAGAUUCUCUUUAUUCUUAAAGUGUAAAUAUCUUUAUAAAUCCAUGACCUUAAAUAUUAUGCGAUUUUUCAUUUUUUUUCAUGUUCUUUAAUCUCGCAGAUUCCCGAUAGAUUAAUUUCAAUUUAGUCUUCACACGUUGUUCAUUGUUGAUCUUUUUUUUCUGUGUUUUCUUUUUGUUCUCGAAAACUUGUAGUCAAGGGGGGCGACCGUGUUAUUAUGUUCGGAGGAGCAUGACGGCGAGGGUAUAGGGAUCAGAGAUCAAGCCAUCAUCGUAAGAUGUAAAAUAAAACGCAACAUCGAAUCACUUUCUUUUUACGAGGAUAAAGGCACCGGGAACUAAUACUGCGAACAAAGAGUGUCUCUCACAUCACAAUAUAGGGGAGAACGCUUAAUGGGGAAAAAAGGGUCAUAAUAAGAAAAAACGCUCAAACGACGAUAGUGAUCGAGCAACAAUGGUGCAAUCGUUACCGUCGAUUUAAAGAGAUAACGACUUUUGCAAUUUCUGUAGAUAUUCAGAUAUUUAAUACAAUCAGAACCUGAUCAAUUAGCAUCAUUUUUGAAUUACCAAACUGAUCACAAACUUUAACAAUAUUUUUAACAAAUUGUGCUACAGAAUUUUGAAUUUAUUCACAGCAAAGGUGAAUCUAUUCCCCUUCAAAUAUAUAGCGUAAAUUUAAAAUUAAGAAAAUAUCACUUUAUCAUCUCUAUUAAAUCGACGGCUGGAACCACCACGCGCAACACAGAAGAAAAUUGUCAAUGCGGUAAACAGCAAGGGAACGACGUAUCGUCUUAAGCAGCUCGAUUUUAGCUACGCGCGCGUUAAUAGGAGAAUAUUCAUUAUAUACACAUAGUUAUCCUUAGCAUGGCUUUUGCAAGUGUUAUUUACUUGUGCAUUAAAAUAUCUGAGAAAUUCCAUGUGUGUGUGUGUACGUGUGUGUAUUUUUGUAUUUCUGUAUUGAUCCACGUUCAAAUGCACGCGAUACUUGUAUAUGCGUGUAUGUAUGCCACAUGUGUGUGUGUGUGUGUAUGUGUGUGUUUUGAGCGCGUAUAGGUGUGUGGGAUCGAGGGUCUAAGAAGCAUCUCGCAAGAGGCGCAAAGCUUAACACACAAGCGGGGAAGAAACACGCUCGACUUUAUUUUAAUCAAUUUCAACACGGAGAUGACGACUCGGAUAUAAUGAGGCAGGCGAGGGUGGGGAGGGAUGAAAUCGGAUCACUAAUUAUCUAAGUGUCGAUCCGGACGCGAAACGAACACUCGUGCUACUUCCUAAUACGUUUAUAUGCUGGAAAUCGUUGAUUAAAAGUGCAAUUACAUCGUCUCGCAAGCCGUAAGUAAUACGUAGGUAUUCUCUCUAUACGAACUAUAUAGUGUAUUUAAAGUUAACUAGUAGUAGAGACCCUCUCUUACGUGGUCGGACAAACGGAGUAGUCUAGUAUUGACGGUCGGGGGAACGGAAGGGGCGGGGAAUACUUUGGACGCUUUUCUUCGAUUCUAGGCCGAAGGUGCAUACGAACGUUUUCCUUUUUUUUUUGUUUUUCUUCCCAAGGCAGGUAUGUCCGGUCAUUUUCGGUCUGUCUCCAGAGCGAACUGCAGAAUAUAUUUUCCGAAAUAUAUAUAUAGAUAUAUUCCUUUUUCCGUGAGAGCGUGCCUCCUAAGGUAGGUUCGUCGCGAGAGCUCGAAAGAAGUGUUCCGGUUUGUUCGUUUAGUGUUUCGUCUUGAAUACCUUACUUCACCUAAAUCAUCGUAUAUAGAGUACGUUCGUGUAUAAUAUUAUAUAGAUACUAAGCCUUACUAACGCGAGAUUAAAUCGUUCUCUUCUCCUCUCUUUGCUCGUCUCUUCCUUUCUUUCGUAUUCUCGCACUCUCUUUCUCUCUUUCUCGCUUGAUCGCAGGUGAGGGGACAAGACGGGAGAAGCCACAAGGAGGGCACAAAAAGCGGAAAUGAAGAAAUAACGAAACGACAGCACAAGAAUGUCCGCGGGCUGCUGCUCUCGAGAUCUCCCGUCGCGGCGAAUCGAAAGGAUCGCAGGGAGAAAGCCCACAAGGGCUGACCGUAGCAGCAACGGUUAUCUACCUACUAAAGCUAUUAAGCUUAGGCUGAUACAUCGACAUGCAAUUAGUUCGUCAGUAAAACUCUCAUCCUAAGUCGCGGGCUACAAUGUAUACCGCUACGGUGUUAAUAACCUAAUCCAAAAAUACUAUAUUGUGUCUUCGUUAGCUUAGUCAAAAAGUUAAUGUCCAUCAACAUCGAACUACCAAUGUCAAGGCUCUUUAUCUAGAAAGUCGCUUGUGUUUUUUUUUCUUUUUUUUUCUUUACCUAGACAAUUUCCCAUUAUGUUUGCAAAUAUAAGUUAAUCGCAUUACGGGGUAUUCCUCUGUCAUUGACAAUCUUCAAUAGAGACCGCUUGCGUGACACGUGCGCGGCGGGAGUGGAUGGCACCCACCGCUGUUUCGACACGAAAAUACGUUCUUUUCCUCCCCCUUUUUCCUUUCCUGUUCGAUUUGCAUUGCAUGUCAGCUGGAGGAAAAUCGCCCGCACAUGUUCGGGGAAAAAAGUCUGUAUACACGUAUAUAUAUAUAGUAGUACUCUGAAUAAAAGGAACUCUC